GGCUUAGCAGACUGAUAAUCUAAGUUCUCAGAACUUCUCUCACCCUAGUUUGAAAACCUUGCCCCGGGGAAGUGUUUCUCUGAAGAGAGACUAUUAUUUACCUUUGUUUUGUUUAUGGAAAAGAAAAGUACAAAUGCUGCAUUUAUUGAGAGACUGAAAGGAUGGCAGAUAAAAAUUUCCUCUUCCCUUUGAGACUUUGACAAAUUUCACUGAUAAUCUUUUAAUUCAAAACAACAUCUCAGAUUUUGUCAACGAAGAACAGACUUACUUCAUUUCUAGCAUAACGAAAGAAAUAAAGUAGAUUGUGAGUCUAAUGUAUAUUUCCCACAUCACCUGAAAUUCUUAAUCCCAUUAUAGACAUACUUAAGUGAUUUUCCCCCUAAGUGCAGAAAUAGUGGGUCGGCGCACAUUUUGCUAGCUACCGUGCUGAUGUGUCUGUCUAUGUCAUGGAACACUGUGGCUCCCAAGUUCAGCACUUUGACAAAAUAUAUGACCGUAAGUCUUGGUGGUGCUUGUUACUGGCUUGCUUUUGUCUGUAUUUCUGUGAGCUGUGUCUUGACAGAAGGCACUGCAUCACAGGCUGAAGCUUUUCUGGGCCUGUGCACGGAGAGCUGGCAGUGACCUAACAUUGACCUCCCUAAGCCGGGAUCCUGCUUUCGGCAAUGUGAUCAAAAGAACAUAUCAGCGGCCUGCACUCUAGACUCCUGUUAAACACCAGGACUUUUCCCUCAUCGGAAUGUUAAUCCACUGAAUAACUUCAGCAAGAAGGCAGGUCUGAGAGGUGACACGAAGAAGUGAAGUAGCAGGAUGAGAAACAUCAUGGAGAAGAAACACAUGUUUGAGCAGGAAUCAGUCUACGGACUUAGGAACCUGAAUGAGCAAAUAAAAUACAUAAAGGGAUUGCAAUGUUAUUCUACAAGGGUUAACACAUUGACAAAAAUAUUUUGUUGUGAAAUAAAUAAUCAAGGCAAAUGAG
rnacentral:lncRNA from 1 species